UUCACAUGUGAUACUAACUCAAGUAUCUUUCAGGCCAGCACUUUCACAAUCUACUGGAGAAGCUAGAUUCGUCCUUCGACGUCAAGUGCCAGGAGACGGUCAAGGAGCUUGAAGAUUUCAGGUUGCAAAAUGCGCCCCUGAUUGAUCAACUGGAUAAACAGGAAGAGCAAAUCGCGAGAAAGCAAGACGAGGUGGAAAUUAUCACAAGUAACUUAAACGAGGCUCGGUCGAAGAAAGAAGCCGGGCUCAAGGCCUUACACGACGAAGUGGAGCUGAUACAAAACGAGGUUCUGAGAUACAACGAGGACUCGAUGAGAGUGAUUGAUUGAUUGAUUGAUUGAUUGAUUGUACCUCGUACCCAUCGCCUCCAGUGGACGUUUCAUAUAAUGACUUACCCACAGUAUGACGCGCGGUACCGGCGCACGACCCAACACCACUAGAGGCGUUCCAGCAAUACGUUCACGUUGACUAUUUUGACCGGACGGUUGGAAUGCGCUGACCAAAUGUUUUUAAGCGCCAUUUACAGAAAAUGUUUAAAAAGUAGCUCUAUAGUUGCGAGCCAAAACGAAAAGGAUUCGGUAUGGAGAUUUGUU